UGGGGGCCAAGAGGGAGAAGACUGGAGUGUUGCCAUAUUAAUAGUUCCGCCGCGAGUUCUGUGCAAAUCCCUUGGGAGCUUGGUUUCUUCAUCUGUAAUGAAGGGGUUGGACUGAGGUCGCUUUUAGCUCUGACAAACUAUAAUUUUGUGAUACUGAUUAAUCCAUGAACGUCAGGUGCUGGGAAUUUGGCUGCCCCGUCGGGUUUCUGAUGCACAUCAAGCUCCGUGUGAAGUAACUGAUGAAGACACAGGCUGGCAGGAUUUCUGAGGCAAAGGACAAAAGCACUUUUUCUGCAGUGUUAACAAUGUCAUCUUCCUCAUCACUGUUACCACGAUCACCUGGAUUCAGAACCAUUUCAACAAUUUCACCAUUGGUCAAUGAAUGAGUGAUGGAAGCCUCAUUAUUUAUGUUAAAAACUCCUUCAAUAUCCACUUCUUCCAGCUUAUGAAAGGGGUCUGAAGAUAUAUAUUUUUUUCACCUGUAAGGAGAUUAGACAUCAUUUUUUCUCACUUGACAUACAGAAUCCUUCAAAGUCACCACCUUGUUCAUCACCAUCACUGAACAUAGUCUCAGGCUAGAGGUUUCCUGCCAGGUGUGCACAACUGUGUCUAAGUUGCUGGGUUCCAGGCAUUGGAAGCAGCUUAUACAGCAUCCCCAUGCUAAACUCGUUUUGAAGACCUUCCGUACCCACACCUCUAGUCACUGCUGCCAGCAUGCUGUUCAAGGAAGUGUUGUUAUAUUUAUUCUUCAUUGACCUAAGGAUAACCUGGUCACACGGCUGAAUUAAUUAAGUCACAUUUGGGGAAAAGUACACAGCAUAAACAUUUUUGAUGAGAAUUUCAGCUGGGAAAGGAGCAGAACAGUUGUCAAUGAAUUACAAAGUCUUGCAGUUGUCAUCCAGUCUAGCUUCCCUGCAGUGAGCAUGAGCCGCUGGUACAAAAAAUGUUUGUGAAACCAAUUAGAAAAGAUGUGCCUGUGACCCAUGCCUUUUUGUCAUCAUAAUAAUGGACUGGUAAGAAAUUCACUCCUUGAAAACAGUGAGGACAGAAGCUUUUGCCCAUCGCAAGUUGACCCUUAUGCACACCUGCUGCAUUAGCACAGCCCAGCACACUUGCUCUGUCCUUAGCAUCCUUAAUACUUGGGGGCUGUCUCAUCAGCUUUUGUCAGUCUCUUUCUGGGAUAAUUAUGCCAAAACAGCGAUGUUUCAUCAGCAUUACAGACUUGUUCUGGCAUCAGACUUUCAUCAGCAAUGACCUUGGCAAACUCAUCAAUGAAUUUCUCUGCCGCUUUGUGAUCAUCAGAUGCUCUGUCACCACACAUCUUCAAAAACUUUAAUGCUGUAUCUUAAAUUUCUGCAACCAGCCUGUUGAAUAUUCACAGUUCCCUUCAAUUGCCAGUUCAAAGUCAUAGAUCUUUGCUUGUUUCACAAUCAGCAUACCAUUAAGUGACGGGUGUUCAUUGCCACACUGAUGGAUCCACUUUUAUUUUUUUGAGACAAAGUCUCACUCUGUUGCCCAAGCUGGAGUGCAGCGGUAUAAUCUUGGCUCACUGCAACCUCUGCCUCCCAGGUUCAAGUGAUUCUCGUGCCUCAGCCUCCCAAGCAGCUGGGACUACAGGUGUGCACCACCACAUCCAGCUAAUUUUUGUAUUUUUUGUAGAGACGGGGUUUCACCAUGUUGGCCAGGAUGGUCUCAAUCUCUUGACCUCAUGAUCUGCCCGCCUUGGCCUCCCGAAGUGCUGGUAUUACAGGCGUGAGGCACCACACCCGGCCCAUUUCAUUCUUUCUUUCUUUUUUUUUUUUUGAGACAGAGUCUCACUCUGUCGCCUAGGCUGGAGUGCAGUGGUGACAUCUCGGCUCACUGCAAGCUCUGCCUCCU
rnacentral:lncRNA from 10 species